ANCANCCNCGGUAAUUCCAGCUCCAAUAGCGUAUAGUAAAGUUGCUGCAGUUAAAAAGCUCGGUAGUUGAACUUCAGACCUGACCGGGGCGGUCCGCCUAACGGUGUGUACUGUCUGGCCGGCGCCUUACCUCUUGGUGAGCCGGCAUGCCCUUCACUGGGUGUGUCGGGGAACCAGGACCUUUACCUUGAGAAAAUUAGAGUGUUCAAAGCAGGCUUACGCCGGAAUACAUUAGCAUGGAAUAAUAAAAUAGGACGUGCGGUUCUAUUUUGUUGGUUUCUAGAGUCGCCGUAAUGAUUAAUAGGGAUAGUUGGGGGCAUUUGUAUUGCGUUGCUAGAGGUGAAAUUCUUGGAUUUACGCAAGACAAACUAUUGCGAAAGCAUUUGCCAAGGAUGUUUUCAUUAAUCAAGAACGAAGGUUAGGGGAUCGAAAACGAUCAGAUACCGUUGUAGUCUUAACAGUAAACUAUGCCGACUAGGGAUCGGACGACCUCAAUAUUAUGCGUCG
rnacentral:rRNA from 1 species